rnacentral:sRNA from 1 species
GAAGUGUAAGCUGUGUCAUCUGAUUUGUCAUGGCAGUGAGCACUCCCUUGCCUUUGAUGAUGCCUCACGUCACCUUUUGCAUAAAGGGAACAACAAAUCAUUUAAUCUUCAGAGCAUCUUAGACUGAAAAACUUUCAACUGUGCUGAAAAACCUAGAAGACAGACCAUUUUUCCCACCCUCUCAUUUAAAAGGAAUUGAAGAAGAAAUAAAAUGGCAGAGGUUUAAGGUUACUAUUCAGGAUGACUGAUGAUAAUUCAGAUGAUAAAAUAGAAGAUGAAUUGCAAACCUUCUUUACCAGUGAUAAAGAUGGAAAUACACAUGCAUACAACCCGAAAUCACCACCUACACAAAAGUCUUCAGCCAGCAGUGUGAAUUGGAAUUCUGCCAACCCAGAUGACAUGGUGGUUGAUUAUGAAACUGACCCUGCUGUGGUUACUGGUGAAAAUAUUUCUUUAAGCCUUCAAGGUGUUGAAGUAUUUGAUCAUGAAAAGUCUUCUAGUGAUUUCACUAGUAAGCAGGUGUUAGAUAUGCAUAAAGAUUCCAUUUGUCAGUCUCCUGCACUUGUAGGUACCGAGAAGCCCAAAUAUCUGCAACACAGUUGUCAUUCCC